GUAUCAGAACCUUAGUAGCUGGUAGAGUAGUAGUAGCAUUCGUUCGUCUUCUCCCUAGCUACUAUCUCUUGGAUCUUCAUCAGUAAAGAUUGCAGCUACUGCUCCUUGCCAAUUCCGUUCCUGUUCUUCUCCUCUUGUUCUGAAUCUUACGAAGUCGUUCUUCUUUUCCCCUUGGCGUUUGUCAACUCCUGACACGGCGGAUCCAGCGCCGGCCCUCUAUCUCACAUCGGAGGAGGAGCGCCAAUGCGCCAUCAUGCGCGGCCUCUGCUUGGCCACUCCUUCGGUGAUCCGCGCCGCCUCGACCUCUGCUCGUGUAGAGCAGGCCUAUCCCACGGUCCAUUUGCGGCGGACGCAUGCUGGAGAAGAGAGGUCGAGCGCCUCCGCCCGUUCGUCUCCCGAGUCCAAGUGCUGCCGGCCAAUUCGAGCCAGUCCGUGCCGAUUCGUCGUUCUCCACACGAGGUCCUCCUCCGCUCAAGCGUGGCUUCCACUGCGUGAGCCGACACCCCCGCUCAAGCCCAUCUCCGCCGCAAGCUCGCCUCCGGCGUCUCUGCUGCCCACAGCCCCUCCGUCCCAAGCUCGUCAGGCUGGAGGUCCCGCAGGUCCACGGCUGGAUCUUGCAUGGAUCCGGUGAGGGCUUGUCCGGCAGCUCCCGAUCUCCUCAUCGGGCUGCUUGUCGUCUUAAACAGUGAUGAGUGUAUGCUAAAGGUUUUUCUGUUUCAAUCGUUGGCCGUUCCUUUGACAAAGGAUUGAUCCUGCUGCUGACGCCCAUGCUGACCGACAAAGCUGGAGGUGACAAGCAGAUGGCAAACAAUGUGUCAUGAAUGCCCCAACAAAACAUGGCCUGUUUCAAGGAGCUAAAUUUGAAAUCUUUACUAUUCUGUUCAGAAGUAUUUGCAAACAAAAUAGUGGUCUGGAUCGAAAUUUGAAUACUUUGUUAUUCUUUAUGCACUAUUUUGUGGUGAUCCCAGUGUUUGGUGCACCAAAUAUUCACUGUCCGAUCAUAAGUACUUUGUCCAAUAGCAAUACAUUUCUGUUUUGGAACGUAGGAGCAAUAAAGAGCAUCUAUUACGAAUGGAAAAACUUGGGUCUUGGGAUCUAAAAGAUAGAUGAAAAUGAUCAACAGUUAUGAAAUACUAACCAUAUGCAGGAUACGUUGGCUGUGGGUAUGAAAGCAUAAUAGAUCAUCUGAAUUUUAUGGUGUUUACUAUUGGGUAUAUCACCUGAAUUAAAGAAUGCUUUUUUAGUAAUUGCAGUUUCAGUUGUAAAGACUCUUAGAAUUUUCAGCUGUAAAGACUCUUAGAAUCUCUAACAGUAGUGUUGUCAUUUUCUUUUCAGGUCAAGGAUAUUCCAAUGUAUCACCGGCUGGCAUGCCAAUGAUCAGCUCACACUCGACAUCAACUUCGAUUACCACUUUACCAGAAUGAAUGCCUCACUGAUGCCACCGGAGCUUUGGUUCUACCUGUCAUCUCCCUUGCUUUCCUCACGAAUGUAAUUAAAUUAUGCACAAUAAGGAACAUCUAACAAUUUGAAGCCUUGCUCAAUGAUGCUACCCAAUGACAUUCAAACUUAAUUGAAAGAAUUCCUUAUAUGACAUCGGAACUAAUCUUUAUUCCCUAUAUGACACUAGAGAAAAUUACCUCACUUAUUUGACACCAGGUUUAUCUUUUAUGCCACUUAUUUGACACCAGAUUUAUCUUUUAUGCCUUUUAUCGUGCCAAUCAUAUUUAGCAAAUAUAUGUUGUUUGGCUGGCCCAAUGUUUUAGCCUCCUAUGAAGAAAAAUGCCCAUAACCCAUGACAUGUGUUUCUUAAGCGAUAUCAUAUUCAGCAUGCAGAGGUUUUGGUUGUUAGUCUCCUUGUUUUUGCCACUUACCCAGGACAGUAUGAUAUUUGUGAUAAAGCAUAAUUCCCGUGCAUCAUCGUAUGGCAUCAAUAUCUAGCUCACACUGAUCAGUUUUUUUUCUUUAUAUGUUUGGAUGGAUUAAACCGAUCCACGAUUGAUCUCAAGGCUGCAGCUUCUAGUUAUAUAGAGAUUCUAACAGUUACCUAGCUUGCUGAGGUCAUUCUAGUUCAGUUUACAAAUUAGUGUCGAUUGUCUUAAGAUUCUAAACUAGGCUCUUCAGUUAAUAGGCUGCCUAAGAAGGUUAAGACUGCUAUUUUAGUUGCCUUCACACUAGUAAAGAAGAUAAUGUUCUGAGAUGGUAUAAUUUGAUCAACUCACAGUAUACUGAGUACUAUUGCAUCUGCACCUACAUGUCUAAAAUUUGCACCAAUUCUAGUAUCAUAUGUUGGUUUGGUUGUUUAGAUUGAUAUAUCCAACAAUUUUAUUCCCAGGGAUCAUUUGCUUUUUCAUUAAAUAAAGGUAUCUCAGGUGUGGUAAAGACUUUCGGACCUGUGUACUUUGAUUUAGAAAUGGUCUAGAUCUUCAGUUCAUUUGAUGGAGAAGGCCAUGGCUCCCUAAAGACUCCUAGAGAUCCGGCUCGAUCAGCAGAGAUGAGGGCUGAGAUGCUGCAUUACCUUUUCAAUCAGAAAACAGUGUCAACAAGUUGCCUGACGAGCUUGUUCAGUUUCAUCCCCUUUUUCAUAGGAAUAUUGAUCACAAAUAUAGUGUAUUCUAAUGAGAUUUGUGUCCCUGUAUCUACAUGUUGCCCUUGUUGACCAUAUUAUCUUGAACAAAUUAGCUGCACUCAAUUGUGAUGGACGCAGUUCUACUGCCGAGCAGUGAUAUCUAUCACUUGAAAUCUUGCCUCAUA